GUAACACGUGGGCAAUCUGCCCUGCACUCUGGGACAAGCCCUGGAAACGGGGUCUAAUACCGGAUAUGACCACCGGCCGCAUGGUCUGGUGGUGGAAAGCUCCGGCGGUGCAGGAUGAGCCCGCGGCCUAUCAGCUUGUUGGUGGGGUGAUGGCCUACCAAGGCGACGACGGGUAGCCGGCCUGAGAGGGCGACCGGCCACACUGGGACUGAGACACGGCCCAGACUCCUACGGGAGGCAGCAGUGGGGAAUAUUGCACAAUGGGCGCAAGCCUGAUGCAGCGACGCCGCGUGAGGGAUGACGGCCUUCGGGUUGUAAACCUCUUUCAGCAGGGAAGAAGCGCGAGUGACGGUACCUGCAGAAGAAGCACCGGCUAACUACGUGCCAGCAGCCGCGGUAAUACGUAGGGUGCGAGCGUUGUCCGGAAUUAUUGGGCGUAAAGAGCUCGUAGGCGGCCUGUCGCGUCGGAUGUGAAAGCCCGGGGCUUAACCCCGGGUCUGCAUUCGAUACGGGCAGGCUAGAGUUCGGCAGGGGAGAUUGGAAUUCCUGGUGUAGCGGUGAAAUGCGCAGAUAUCAGGAGGAACACCGGUGGCGAAGGCGGAUCUCUGGGCCGAUACUGACGCUGAGGAGCGAAAGCGUGGGGAGCGAACAGGAUUAGAUACCCUGGUAGUCCACGCCGUAAACGUUGGGCACUAGGUGUGGGCGGCAUUCCACGUCGUCCGUGCCGCAGCUAACGCAUUAAGUGCCCCGCCUGGGGAGUACGGCC
rnacentral:rRNA from 1 species